CCUCCCUUGCCCGCCCCUCUGCAUGCCCGCGGGCCUCCUCUGCCAGGGCAGCAGCCUGCCACAGCCGGCCCGAGCAGGACGGGGUUGGGAACAUCUCCAGCCCCUGGCAGGGCCCAGUGUCAGUUUCAGGCCCUUCUGGGGUAGAAGGAGGUGUGGGGUGGGGCUGCCAAAGUCAACACAGCCCGUCUCCACAGGCGGGGCCUGGUUUGGCACCUGUGGACCUCGUUCCCAGCCCACAUGCCCGGGUCCUGGCCUCUCCUGGGGUCGGCUGGGGUUUCUCUCCCCCCAGUUCUCAGAGUACAAAGCUUCUCCGUCUCCAUCAUGCAGUCUGCUCAUCGCUCUCCAGGACCACGGACCUGCCAGCCGCUCCCUUCCCCAAACCCCAGACAAGCCCCUGGAGUAUUUGUCCUCUGCACAUACACCUAAGACAGAAACUACCCACCCCCCACGAUUCACGGCCACAUUAGCGUGACUUUACCAUUCCAGCUAAAAGCCCUGACUGUUCACUAUAGGAACUUCCAGAAAGCCCUGCGAAGUCUGCAGCAGUUUGCUCCCUAAAAUUUUCACCUAAAAUGCUCAGCUUGCUCUUUCCACGAAUCCUUGACUUGCACAGUGAUCCUCACCCCAUUACGUCAAGGCCCCUCACUGUGAAAGUCCCAUCUGGAACCAAAUUUCCAGCUCCCCAUCCAUUCCGACCUUGCCCACCCUGACCCAGGGGCUGCCCAACCUUAUCCACACGGCAGCUCUUCACUGAGGGGAACGGCAAACGGGGCUUGUUACCGGGAGGUCGUGCUGGUGAUGUUUGGGGAGUGGGCAUUCGACACUUUCUACUCAUCUUCUCCCCAAAAUGAGCCGCUCUGGUCUCUGCAGGUGCAGCCCCAAUGAGACCCCAAACCUGGCCACCACCCCUGAACAGCAUGUGUUUUCUCAAUUCCUCGGGCCAAGCCCAGCUCCCCGCCCUACAGCAGCCACUGCCUGCCUAGGCCAGGCCCACCCAGGUCUCCUCACCUGUGGACAGAAGGGAUGGGAUGGUGGGAAGGGAGUGGAUUUAACUAACAAAUGGGUGAGGGUUGCAAUUGGGGGUGGGCAGAACCCCACCCCUCCAGACUCUCUCCCUCAAAUGAACGGGAAGGGGGCAACCCUCCCCCCCAUCCAACAGCCUGAUUUGUUUUGCAAAAUUUGAGGGUGUUCUACACCCAGGCCCCAGGGAAGACGCAAGAGCAGGUGGAGACAAGGCCACUCCACACCCGGCUCCCCCCUCCCCACAGUGUGCGUCCCUUCUUCACUCUACUUCCAAAUCUUCUCCAGGUCUCCUAGCCCCCAGACACUCUGCACCCCAAACCCCUAAGCCCUUCCCCUGGGACCUGUGUGCUCAGGUAAGAGAACCUGGCAAUGAGCAGCCAGCCCUUCCCCCAAACAGACGGGGCAGCAAACACCCGAGGCCUGCCCUCCCGGGGACCACAACAGCUGCAUUUUGAGCCUGAGGCUGGAGCAAUUCAGAAAGAAGCCCCGCCUCGCUCAGGGCCCAGACGUGCCCCCGGGGUGGGGGUGGGGGGGGCAGCGGGAAGUUGCCAGUGCCCUUUGCCCACAAGGGGCAGGCUCAGCGGGAGCCACCCGCCGCCUCACCCAGCACUGCCCGCCCUCCCCGGGCAGGGCCCUCCUUCCUCCCCCCCAGGGCUCCCUCCCAGGCCGGCCGGGUCCCAGGGCUGCUGCACAAAGAGCCCUUUGUCUGGCUGGAAACAAUGCCUCUCCCCUGUAUGGCAACACGGCUGUGUCUCAUAAUCAAGCUUUCAGAGGCUGGAUCAAAGGGCACUCCAGCAGAGUUGUGCUCGGAGCUGCUGACAACCUGUCAUCCACCCUUAAUCCUCACCUGUCCCCAGCCCACUGAGAGCACCUUUCUCCCCGGGGCAGGGCCUGUGUGCACCCUGGAGCGGAAGGGAGCUGGGGGGGACCAAGGAGGGCAGGGUGGGUCUCUCCCGCUGGCACCUUGGGCUCAGGUUACAGCCCCUGCCAGCAGAGCACUGGGUGUGGACGUGCAAAGAGGCACUACCUGGGGAGAAGGAGAGGGUGGUGCCUGGUUUGGCCCGGGGCCACCCCCAUCUCCCAGAUCCCCUCUCAGGCGGGCGGGCGGGUGUGGGCAACCCCUCAGACCCGCCAGAGCCUCUCGUCCCCAUCUGCUUGGGCGCUGGCAGACCCUUCGUAUCUCUGUUUUGGAAUCCAACAAAGACAAGCUCUAGACCGCUUGGAGAUUAAAACCAGCCCCUCCCUCGAGGCUGGAGCCCCCUCUCUGGGGCCAGCGCUGCAGUCAGAGCAGAAAAUCACAUGAUCGCUGCUGGAAGAGGCGUUGGGCCAGUUCCUCCCGGAUCACACGCGAGUUCUGCGCAGCUACCCCAUCGUUCCUGGGAGAUCAUAGAUUUUCUUGGUAUUUCAAAAUAAUGUAAGCAUCACUGAUCUGGCCCGGUCUACAUCAUUUUACAGAUGGGGAAACUGAGGCUCAGGGAGGGGAACUCACCCAGCGGGCUUCGUGGUACAGCUGAGGCCACAAGUUAUGGCAUCACGACCAUGAUGUGGGUCCCUGCCUUUCCUCCAGAAGAGCCCUCCCAGCAGCCCCACCUCAGGGGUUUGUGACCUUUUACAAGGUCAAGGUUAAUUCAAACGUCUGGGAGACACAUGGUCAAGCAGAGAUGGACCAGAUAAGAGCUGACCGAGGAGGCUAUGAAUAAACACAUGGGUUCAACCUGCAGGGUGCAGGGCACUGAGAUAGCAACAGGCUGCCUCCACGAUGCACGACACACGUGCAGACCUGUGCUCGCGAGGAGGGGGCCCAGAGGAGCCUCGUGCCACCCCCGCCAGGCUGGCUGUGGGCAGAAGUUCAGGACCUCCGCUCCAGGACCAGGGGACUCGUUGAGCGUUCUGGGUGAGCCCCAGCUGAGGUACGAGAGGGACCUCACAGGUAGGUCAAGGACCACAGACCACGUGUGACCUGGGCCCUGGUGUGUGGCCUGGGCUCUGUGGAGACAGGCAGGAGGAAGGGGUCCCGUCCCAGAGACAGGACUCACGGCCCCACCUGCUCCUCACACAGCAGCCAGACCCUCCAGCCGCCCCUCCCACUCGGAGUCAGAGCUGACGUCCUCCAGGGCCCCAGAGAUCUGCCUGCGCCCCAGACCCCCUCCUGGCCCCUGGUGUCCUCUUCGUUCCGCUUGCAAUCCUGCUCCUUGGCCCCUGGCCCCACAGCCGCUCUGCCUGAGUCUCUCCCCACGACAGGCCCCGCUCAGGUCUCAGACCUCAGGCCUCUGCUCAGCCAUUCCCUUAACCCAGAGACCACCUGGGCGAGCCCACCCAGGAGCCAGCCUUGCCCCGGCUCCAUCCCCAGCCCUUCCCCCUGCUUUGUUUUCCUUCAGGGAACCGAUCAGCCCCUGACAUAAUUAUUUGACUUACUGUUGAUUAUAUUUUUUAUUUUAUGUAUAUAAUCUAUUAUAUGGUGUAAUAUAGCUUAGUACAAAAAUAUUUCAUAUAUCAUUUAUAUAUUUUUUAAAUAGAAUUAUCAUAAAUGAUUUUGUUAAUUACAUUUUCAUUACUAUCUAUAACGUUGUUAACUCUAUUUUCAUUGUUGGUCUGUGGCUGAAGCGGCACAGGAAGGAGAAUGCUAGACAAACCCCACAGCCCAUUUCCCCACGGGGAGAAUGGGAGGGACAAAGCUGCGUCUCUCAGAUCCCAGGGUGGGACGGGCUGUGCUGGGCGGGCGUUGAGGUGGGGCCGAGGGGCAGUUUGGGGCGAGGCAGGGUGUGUGGGAGGCUGGCAGGAGGACCUUGGUGGGGCCCUGUGCAGAGGACUUCAAAUUCCCAAGUGAGAUGGGGCCGGGGUGAGGGCAGCCCCCAGGCGCGAUGUCGCCUCCUCCAGCGUCUUUUCUGACCACGCACACCAAUCACCUGCCGACAAGCGUCCCAUUUUAAUUCCCCAUGUGGACACCCUGCCGAUUUCUGGUCCCGUGCCUGACCUCCCGUGAGAACAAGGCCCCACAAGGGCAGGGGCCGGGCCUGCCUUGUUCGCCAUUGCAUCAGUCCCAGGGCAGCACGUGGCCGCAGCCGCGACUCAGUGAAGCGGGUUGAGUGCAGCCCCGUGUUACACCUGUGAAACCAGAGCACAGAGACGUGAAGUCACUCCCCCAAGGUCGAACAGACAGGGAGUGGAGGAGCCAGGAUUCAUCCCUCCACCUGUGCUUCCCAUUUAUCGUGCCUGCCUCUCCCAUCCCGUCCCCACACUGCAGCCACUGUGACAUCUUCAAAAUGAAGUCAGAUUCCUCUGAUUCAACUUCCCAUUCUGCAUAUGGUCAUCUCAUCAAACCCAGGGCAGUGCGGCUGCCUUCACUGCCUCUGCCAAUCUUCAUUUUCUCCCACCCUCACCCGCACCCCAGGGCCUUUGCACCUGUUUGCUCCUCUCUAGAAAGGUUUUCCCAUGGCUCCUUCUGAUAGUCUCCUUACAAAGGCCAUCCUGACCACUCUUUAAAGCUGCCCAGUCCCUCCAGGGUCACCCUCCUCAGUGUCCUCCUUGCCAUUUCCUCCACUGUGCUGACCACUCACUGUGGUUAUUGGUUUAUGGUCUGUCCCCAAGCACCUGGAGCAUAGGCCCCAUGAGAGCAGAGACCACGGACGUUGCUGUGGCUCUGGUGCCAGACCUAUGCCAGGCACAAAGUCGACACGCACACGAGAUUUGUUAACUGAAUGAAAGCAUGAAGGGACGCAUUUGGGAAGAAGGCCCAAUGGCAGCGAAGAUAUGAGAUUAGAAAGGCAGGGUGGCGGCCGAGAGCCGUCCCAACGGGCAAGAGCGAGGCGGGCAGGAGGGCACGACCCCAAGGCUCCAGGCUGCACUGGGGAACCCGACUAGGGGGAGAGGGUUGGUUCCUGAAACUGGCAAGCCGGGAGAGCUUAACCCAGGGCAUCUCACUCGCUUAUCGACUUUCUCUGAAGCUGUUAUCACUCUGGACUUCAAACAGCUGCCUCUUAUCUUGGCCCAGCCCAGGCCGUUAUCAGGUUCCAGAAUAACAGCUUUCCAGGCUGCUAGGAGCCCAGUGCCAGGCCUCCAGCCUGGCGUGGGGAGGCUGUGGUGCCCGCCAUCCCUUCACUCUUCGAGGCCGCGCUCCCGGCCCCUAGGGGCCUUCACCACAGUUGGGAGAGACAGGAGGCAGGUGGCUCCUCCGGGAAGCCACCUUGGGCACGGUUAGAGCUCAGAAUUUAGCCCAGGGGUCCAGCCGUUCUCACUAACCCAUGAGAGCAGGUGCUAGGCCUCAUCUUACAACCUGAGUCAGGGGUUCAAGCUUUACGAUGGGCCCCCUGGAACCCCAAAAUGCCCCAGGCGUCAGACCCCUCUGAGAAGGUCCCACUCUGCAACACCCUUCCGUGCAGAAGAGAAGUCGGCCAGGGAGAAGCAGCCCGAGGGGGCUUGGUCUGCCUGUCCAGAGGGAUCACCUCUCCCCCGCCCGGAGACAAGUCACCUUCAGGACUUCGAAGGCACAUGGACAAAGGAGAGACGGGGUCACCGCCACACAGACCAGGCCCUCGGGGUUCUGCAUGCUCACCAUCGGAACAGACUCCCCACUGAGCUCAGACAAAGUCCAGGAGGCCAGGCUGACACCUGCUUGCCUCACUCCACACCAGGUGGUGACUUGGCCCAGGCCCUGACUCUGCCACACCCUGGGGCAGGGGAGGGGAGGGCACGGGAGGGGGCUCAGCACCACGUGCUCUGAAGGACUGGUGCCCACUGCCCUCUGUUAAGUGUAGGAACCGGUAUGGGUUUGGGGCAUGGGAAGCUUCCUGAGGCAUCUGUAAGAGCUGGCUGGACCCCUCACUUCCGUGCACCGUUACACCCUGAGCAGGAGGAUGGAAAAAAGCACACCUGGCAGUAGAAUUAGGAACAUGACGUCCGCGCCUGGACAGAACAGUUUACCAGUAAAUAGAGGCCAGCGUGAUGGGAGCAGAGAGGGAAACAGAGCCAGGCUCAAGAUGCGGCUGGAGAGAGAGGCAAGUGUCAGACCACAUGUGGCUGCCAAGCUGGGUUAUGGAGCGUGGACUUGACCCGGGGACCAAGGGAAGCUGUCAAAGCUGCAGGUAGGGGUCGCCAGCACAGAUCCGCAGGUCUGAAAGUGUGGGGAGGGCACAGAGCUGCAGGAGAGAGGCGAGCACCUUGAAAGAACCCACAAGUGCCCGUGUAUUUUCUGCAUAGGAAGCUACUCAAAGCCAAACUCCUAGCCUCAGUGGCGGCCCACAGAAGUGUUUAAACUGCCUUUGAGAAAAAGGGGUCUUCACACUCCAAAAGGCUGGGCAGGCCCCAGCUACGGGAUAAAAUGCAAGCCUCUCGUGUGGUCCUGCACCACCUUCCGUGACGUGGCUUGGCCUCGGGCUCCAAGCCUGACCCCCCAAGUCCUCAUGCAACCCCCUCCCCUGGGGACCAUGGUGCCCGGUGCCUCCACGCCAUGGCACGGGCUGCCCCUCUGUCCAGGCUGCCCUCCCCUUCUUGGGUCUCGUUCCACAACCUGAGCAGUGCCUCACACAGGGCAAGCUCCCCAUCAACGCGUGUUUGUUUUACACACAGCAGAGUUCAUUGCUCCCAUCCCGUGAAGCACACACCUCUGACACAGCAGGCAGGUCAACAGUCUACACUAAGCUGUUUACCUGCACCUCCGCCCAGACCGCGCUCCCAGAGGGCUGGGACCAGGUCUUUGCCGUCCUGCCGUCCUCACGGCCCGGCACCUGGUGGAGAGAUCAAGGCACAGAGAGGUUAAGUCACGUGCCCGAGACGCCCAGCUGUGAUGCUCGAAGUGGACACCCUACGCAGAGUCGGUGCGCCUGUGUUCUAGCGCUGUCUGGCCUCUGUCAAAGCCACACCCCUUCCCUCGGUUUGGAGCCACCCCACAUGGGCUCCCAAGUCAAUAUGCUGUAGCGGGCUCCACUCUGAGGUGCCCUCACUGGCAUUUCUUCCCUCUCCUGGAAGACAUCGCAGUUCGCCCGCCCCGAGCCCAUUCCGUGGGUAAUCCUGUCCAUUCACUCACCCUCAGCUACUAGCCAAGAGCCCCAACCUCGGGCUCAGUCCAGCGUUCUCUGCUGAGCUGCAAACCAGCACAUUCAGGGGUUCCUGGGCACUGCUGGGGCCCCUGGUCCUGAACCAGCGCACACUGGGAGGGGCUGGGUGACCUCUGGCGGGUCCAGGGUACUCAGGGCAGGUUAUCCAGACCAGAGGCAGAGGUGAAUGGACAUGCCAACAGGGUCCUCUCUGCAGAGCUUCUCAUAGCUACUGAGCAGCUACGCAGGGGAGACCGUCUUCUGACCUACCUGUGUCAGCAUGUCCCCGCUGGGUUCUUCAGAAGCAGAUGCUGAGUCAGAGUUUGGGAUGCAAGCUGUUUUCCGUGAGCGGAAGGGCAGGAAGCAGGACCAGGUGAAGGGAACAGGGGAACAGCAGUGUGGCCCAGUGAGGCCUCAGCCAAGCUGGCAGGGAGCUCGGGGGUGAGCACCCCCUCGGGUCGUCCCAUGUGGGGCCAAGGCACUCAGGUCUUCAUACCCCUACCGCCGUCAUUUACGGACGUGGAUGCCCAAGAAGGGGCGAGCCGGGUGGGGUGGCCCCUGCAGCCGAGUCUGACCCUGAAGGAGCUCACAGCUGGAAGCUGGCUGUUGACCACACCCCCCACCCCACGGCGGGGCAGCAAGCCCUUCCUGGAAGGGAGAUUGGAGCCUUGCAUCUCCCUGUCCACACAGCCUGCUCCUUCUGUCGCUCAGGUCCACUUCUCCGUACCUGUCUAGGCAGCAACUCCUCCGGGAUCCUCUGGACCAUUCUUCCUGAUGGGAUACCUAGGAGGGGAGGUUGGCGGGACACAGGCAAUCCUGGCUGCCGUUGGUCUCAGGGCUGCAAGAGCCAUCCUUAUACCAAGUUCACACCAUCCCCUGAGGUCCUUGCCAGGGUGCUAAAUGCCGUAUCUCAGGAGAGCUCAAAACAGCAGUGAAUUCUUCCUGUCCACUCUACGUCCCAGCCCCCUAGUCAAGCAUCCUCAGAUCCAGGCACACCCCUGGGGCUGGCGGUAUUUGCUGACUGGUUCUCGUGGCUCAUUUGGAACGUAGUCCUUUCUCUGUCGUUAGGCCCAGCACCUCCCCAGCUGGGUUUCAUGGCGACCUGAAGGCCUAGUGGCCAGAAUAGGCGGUGGGGCAGGUCCUGAUGGGGUGCAAGUCGUCCUGCCAGGGAGAGGCCUCUAUGUCGUUGCCUUCAAGCCGGGGAGGCCGUGCUAGCUCUUAAUAUGGGGGAGGGGGCGCAUCUGCAGAUUCAGAGGAGCCCGGGCUGUUGCAAUCUUUGAGGACCUUCACUCGAUGUCUCCAUCCACAGAUGCCUCCGUCCCACGUGUCGGGGCCCAGAGUUCUCUAACCAGGGCUCUGACUUUGGUCUAACAGACUAGCCGUGGUUGAAUAUCUCACCGGCUUUGAAAUGCAGCUGCUCUCACUAUUCAGUCCCAGGCCUGGCCUUCAUUUCCUGGGCUCGCCCUACAGCUCAUGAGUGUCUCUGUGCCCACCCCAACAGGCCACUGACUGUCACCCCUGACUUGCCAUUGCCAGCUCCCCCUCCGCUGUUCCCUAUUUUCUUACAGCACCAGCAGCCUUUCCAGCAUCUUCUCCUGACGGACGCCAUGUCCCCAACACCUGUGAGACUCCUGGUUUGUCGCACCCUCCAGGGCGUUCUCUCCCGGGCACACCACCCCAAUUUCCCGCCAGUGGGAGUUUUAAUGAUGCCACGUGUCCCAAGGGUUCUCUGUGCUCCGCCUACCACAGCGAUGGGGUCCUCACUGCCAGGCGGGCAGGCAGAACUCCAGCUGCCAAGCCGCGCCUCACCACCUGCUUUCCUGGACCACUCCCGACUGGCACGCUGGGUCUCUGGAAGCAGACGCCGACACAGAGCCCGAGUGUGAGGACGUACGAGGGUCAACACUUCUGAAGGAAGGUGAAAAGCAGGACUGGGCAGAGAGCAGGCAUCGCACUGCCGUGCAGGCCUGUGGGAGCCGGGACCAGCCCGAGGGAGCUCCGGAGGGAGGGCCGCCUGUCAGAGUUGUCCCACACGGCUCACGAUGGCAGGGGUUCAUACCCCAACUCACUCAGUCGCUGGAUCUGGAUCCAGGCUGCCCCAGGAAGGGUGUGACCUCGGGCUCUCUGAAACCGAGGCUGACCCAGACGGAGCUGGCAGCUGGGAGCUUCGGUGACCUCACUCCCCACAUCCGGGCAGCAGGAUCUGCCCUGAAGGGUGAUGAGGCAGUGCCUCUCUGUGUGACAAUGGCACAGUUUACCAUUCAUUCAUUCAACAAACAUUGGCUGCUAGGCACUGUUCUGGGUUCUGCAGACACAGGCGGUGUGGAGACAAGCCGUUCUCUCUCUCUCUCUCUCUCUCUUUCUCUCGUGGAGAUUUAACACACUUCUCCCCGUAAUAGCACGGCCUCGACGAUUAUUUCUUUAAACAGCUUUAGGGAGAUAUAACUACGUACCAUACAAUGCACCUAUUUAAAGUAUAGAAUUCAAUGGGUUUUAGUGUAGUCAUAUAGUUGCGCAAACAUCACCACAAUCAAUUUGAGAACAUUUUCAUCACCCCAAAAAGACACCCUAUAUAAAUUAGCAGUCACUCCACUUUUUCCCCCAACUACUGCACCCUCAUCCUAGGCAACCAGUAAUCUACUUCCAGUCCCUAUAGAUUUGCCUAUUCUGGACGGGUCACAUAAACGGAAUUAUGCACUGUGUGGUCUUUCAUUUAGCUUAGUGCUUUCAAGGUUCCUGAUGUCGUAGCGUGAAUGAACACUCCACUCAUUGUCAUGGUUGAAUAAUAACCCAGUGUGUGGAUAGAGCACAUUCUGUUGAUCAGUUGAAGGAUUGCUGACUGCUAACGAAGGACGCUGCUACGACCACUCGUGUACGAGUUUUUGCGUGGACAUAUGUGUUCAGACUCUUGCCUGGUCGUGGAAUUGCAGAGUCGUGUGAUAACUCUAUGUUUAACAUUUUGGGGAACUGCCAGACUCUUUUCCAAGGUGGCUGCACCAUUUGACAAUCCCACGAGCAGGGUAGGAGAGGUCCAGUUUCUCCCCAUCCUUGCCAACACUUGUUGUUGUCUGUCUACUUGAUCAAGGGCACCCAUUGGGUGUAAAGUUUUGUCUCGUUGUGGUUUUGAUUCACGUUUCCCUGAUGGCUGAUGAUGUGAGCAUCUUUUCCUGUGCUUAUUGGCAGCCUCAGUAAGUUUAGCUUGGAAUUAAAAUGGUCCAGUUCAGGGAUUUUCACACUUGCUUGAGCCUUAGAACUCUUUCUUCAGAUCAGAGUUUACAGGAAAAUCUAACACACAAAACAAAGAAACCCGGAGCUGGGGGUCCCUGUGAGUGAAGCGGGGAGAGGGACCCACAGCUGGAGCCGCUCUGCCCCACAUCUCCCCAGAGCCUGCCUUCAAGAGCGAGGCCCCUGACACUAUGAGAACUUGGGAAAGCAUAGUUUGAACCCACUAAUUAGGACAACAUCACAAGAUAACUGAUAAGACCAGGCGGUAAACACUGGAGCAUCUUAAGUGGAGCUUAUGAGAGACACCGAUCCUGAGCUCACGCUGCCGAGCCCCACAAGAGUUCCUGACCCAAAGAAACUGAGAGACAACAAACGCUUAUUGUUGCUUUAAAUCUCUAAGUUUUAGAGUAAUUUGUUGUGUAGCAAUAGAAAACAAAUGCACAAGAAUAGAGUACUAUGAAAAAAGAACAUUUAUAGAACAUAAAAGAGCUCUUGGAAAUUCCAUGCACAAAAGUGGAAAUAAUAAAUUCAAUAGAUAGUUGGAAAUAAAGUUGAGGAAAUGUUCCAGAAAGAAGAGCUAAAAGACAAUGAGAUGGGAAAUGGGAGAGAAAACAUUACCCCUGGAGCAUCAAGCUCAUGAAAAAUAGCAGUUCUUGUUAGAAAGAAGAGAGAAAACAGGGGUCAGAAAAUCCUUACUGAAAUAGUCCAAGAAAAUUUCUCCAAACUGAACUGAAAUACACUUCAGUUACCAAGUUCAAAGGGCACAGCAAGUGCCCACAACAAUGUCUGAAAAUAGAAAUACACUAAGGUACAUCAUGGUCAACUUUCAGAACACCGAGGAUAAAGAGACCCUACGAGCCUGUGUGAAUACACAGACAGAGGGACCUGUCCUAACGAUCAGAAAUGAAAAUAGCUUCAGACCCUCGUUGGUGGAGCAUAGCUUCCUCAGAAAGAAUAUGUGGAAGGUAACUCUUUUGAGAUUAUUAAUAACUGAAAAUGUGUGUUCCACUCUCCCGCUUGGUCAAUAGUUUGGGUAGGUAUGGAAUUCCAAGUAGGAAAUAUUUUUCCUUCAAAAGAACCUUCUUAAAACAUUUUGGCUACCCCGUGGAGACUGUCUGCAGAGGGCAAAGGAGGGACACCCGGAGACGAGCUGAGGGGUUAAUGUGGUGCCCUUGCCACCUCCAAGGCCUUCAGAGGGUCCCUCGAGUGGUCUACUACCAGAGAGCCUUCCUGGAUACCACCUCUUUCUUCCAUGUUCAUGUGUCCCUUUCUCCAGAAGGACCUAAUUUUUCCCUUCUUUGAACUCCUCACAGAUCCAUUCAUUCAUUCAUUCAUUUCCUGUUGGUUUUUUAAAUUAAGGUUUAUUGAACAACCACUAUGCUCCAGACCCUGAGAUUUAAUAUGAGCAAUAAAGAGAAAUAAAAACUUCUCUUAUGGCACUUAUCUCAGACUGUGUUAUAUUAUAGUCGAUCAUACAGUUAUUUGUUCAUUCAACAAACUUUUACCCACUAAUCACCAGGCACUGUACUGAGUGCUGAGCACACAGUGUGCCCAAGACACACUCCCUGAUUACUUUUGGUGGAGGAGAGAUGACCAACCAACAAUGUGGUAAGGGCUUGGAUGGAUGGAUGGAUGGGUAGAUGGGUGGAUGGAUAGGUGGAUGGAUGCAUGGAUCGAUGGAUGGAUAA